GUGGAAUAUGCUUUUGUAUAUGAAUGGCCCUGCACCUUUACUAGAUCGGAGGCAUUAAAUUUCAUAGAAAUCUAUGAGCUGGAUAAUCAAAGGUUGAAAGACAAAAGGAUUUUAGAGCUCGCGAAAUUGGAUUUUAAUAUACUACAAUUUCAGUACAAGUUGGAGAUGAAAAAACUCUCAAGUUGGUGGGUAGAUUUUGGUAUCUCCAAGCUAGUUGCAAUAAGGGAGCGGACAAUUG